GGAAUGCGGUUACUGGGGGCGGGGCAAAUUCAAGUCCCGGAUGUGUACACGUAUUCCCAUUGGUGAGGAGUUUCAAUUUAGCCAAUGAGAGUACGAUUUUAUCCGGGACUUAAAUUUGCCCCCCAUUAGCCGCGUUCC